GCUGGCAACUAGCUCUCUGUACCUCUCACAUGGUCGCCCGCUGAAGCUAAGCGUGGCUGAGUCUGGUCAGUAUCUGGAUGGGUGACCACAUGUGAAAGCUAGGUUGCUGCCGGAA
rnacentral:rRNA from 1 species